AACAAGUUUUGUUUCCUGAUAACGGGUGAACUUGGACACUGUUACUGUCUGUGUUACAUGCUAUCGUGUGUGUUACAUUGUUUGGGUAUUUAAAGCGCCUGAGCCAGAAAUACACACAAGCACGUCGAACAUGUUCCAGUAAUGUGUGUGUGUCCAUUAUAUUGUAGUAUACCGUGAGCUUGGAAGUUGUGUUACAACCUAAUGGUGACGUACAACAUUACUUUAGGAUAUGAAGACGAAGCCAUUGUUCUGUGAGACUGUUUGGACGUUUGGCAGGUUGACAUGUCAGCUGAAAAUCCACCUUGAUGCAAUUAGAAAUGAUUUGAAGUUUAAGAGGAAAACAUGUAAGACCCCAUAAAUAACGCCUCGAUAAACAAACACUUUGUGCUUGGAUCAAACGUGAUUUCGGAUCAUUUCCUGAAUCCAGUUUCACUGCUCCGUCGUGUCUGAGGAAGGACAUAGUGGAAAUAACAGAAUGCUGCAAUUAACACCAACUUUCGACAUGGAGAGAGAUGUUUGGGGACCUUUAGCCAAAGGAGACACAAUGAGAAGCCGAGACAAUGUGCUGUUUGCUGACACUCAAAUCCUCAAUGUUGAGAGGGAUGAUGGUGUUCUGUAUUGCUGGAGAGGUGCCACAGGAAACACCAGAAUUGGCAAAUAUGACCCUCAUACAAAACAGAAUAAGCUACUGUACACUUUUGACAAGCAAGUGUUUAUUAGCAGCUGCUCUCUGAAUAGAGAAGAAACACUGCUGGCGGUCAGUCUGACACGGUCAGUGAAGGGAGGAGAAUAUCAUUUUAAACCAGUUGCAAAAUAUCUGACUCUACUUAUAGAAAUACACCCAGUUAACAACACUAAGGUCAUAAAAGCUGUGGAUUGCAAGGUCAAAGUUCAGUUCCUGUAUCCUCACUUGACCCGGAACAGUGUGCUGGAAAGUCAUCUGCUGGUGGCAGCAGAAGACGGCUAUAUUGACCAGUACCACAUUUUACUGAGGAGUCAGGAAGGCUGUAAAGUUGUGAUCCAGAACACGGAGCAUCUGGUGAAAGACAGAGUGACAGAUGAGUUCUGCUGGGUUCAGUGGGACUCGGACAACCAAAGACUCUUCUUCCUCACAAGCAGGGAGAAAUACACGCUCAAGUGUGUGCAGUUUUUCCCUGAUCACAAUUUUGACACCUUGUUUGAACUCCCCUUAGUGUUACCAAGCAAUCCUUUCACCUCUGUGAGGUUUAUUAAUUUUGGACAUGAUCACUACCAAGAGCGGGAAAAUGAGGGAAUGAAACUGGUGGUAUUUACAGGCAGGACAGGGAUCAUGUGUGUGUGCUACAGUCAUCCCCUGCAUGGUGCUGAGGAUUACACAUACACAAUUGCAUUUGUGCACAGAGGUUUUAGUAAGACUUUCACUGUAGCACUUGAGCAAACCGUCCCAACAGACAUCAAGCCAAACCUCCAGCCAUUCUUCAUCUUUUUGGGACAUUAUGUUGUAGUUUAUCUUGCUGGUCACUUCCUCCAUCUGAUCAACUGCAUUCAGCAGGACUUGCUCUGUCACAGCCUCUUUCUGUCAGGUGCUGAUACCCAUGUGGAUGAAUUGGGAGUGAACAAUGUUUUAAUGAACAUUUCUGCUCACAAGCUGCUGGAUGAGUGGAUGGGCAGGAUAUAUACCAUAAACCUCAACCUGGAUUUCCUGCUUCAGCUGCUGCUUAGCACUGAUCGGCCUGAGGCACAACGUCUUGCUGCCCUUCACUGUGUAAUGGUCCACCUUGGAUCUGACCAGGACUUGGAGAACAAGAUCAUCUACUGGAUUAGCGAGAACAUGAUGAGCUUUAAUGCUUACGAUCAGAUUCAGGAGUUUAUUCUGGGUUCUUUAUACAGGACGUGCUGUCAGCAGUCUCUCAGUCUGAAUAAAGUGCUUCCGUACUCAUCUGUGUUUGAGAAGAAGGAACUUCCUGUUGCCCUGACUGCUAUCCCUGGUGUGAAGUGCACACCUGAGCUGCUCACUCAACCAGUAUUUAAAGGGAAGGCCCGGAGCCUGCAGGGAUACUGGAAUGAGCUACAGUGGAUUAUUGAAAGGACAAAAUAUUUUGAGACUGUGCCUAACCCUCGAUACCGAUUCUCCCAGCUCAAGGGUGACUGGGCCAAACUACAAGCAGCACUGAACUCAGAGAAAACAAAAUCCUUUAACUAUCUGCAACGACUUGAGGAAAACACUAAAAAAGUCCUAUCUGUGGUGGAUAUGUGGCAUUUGGAUAAGAGAGUGCUUCCCCUCUUUCAGGAGGUUGACCAGCCGCAGAGGGCACUAAUAGGCCUAAUGGUGGAUAAACUCCGGGAUCACCUGAACAAGUUCCUGCCACAGCUGGGGAAGAAAAAGAUUGAAAUGCUGGUGGUGAACUACAUGGCCAAGAUGGUGUGUGUGUGUGUGUGUGUGUGUGUGUGCGCACGCUCAUGUCUCACUGCUGGAGCUGCUCAGACACAUGUUGGAGACUCUGUGGCUGAAGCUGAACUUGGGUCGCACGGUGUUAUGCCUCAACCAGCGAGGCACCUCGGAGGAGUGGACCAUGUUUCAUAUCAUGUGUCGGAUUCUGGAAGCAGCUAAAGGACUCUGUCUUCCCCUCCCACCUGGUUAUUCUACACUUUUAAGUGUGCUGGGUGUACGCUGCCUACCUCGCCACACUUUCUUGCUCUAUGUGGACCGUGGCUUUCUACACCUCACUGAGCCUUUUGUGUCACGCCUUAUGACAGAUCUGGAUAACAGCACCAGCAAUGAAGAACUAAAGUUCAGUGUCCUGAAAAGACUUCCUGCGUGUCUGGCCCAGAGAGUGUGUCAGCUUUGGGAUCAUCCUAUCAGCUCAGCCUGCAUCACCAGACAGUGCGUGAGAAGACUGUUGGAGAAAUACACCAAAACCAAAGCAUCAGUGCAGUUGGACAGAGACAAAAUAUCCUCCCAUCUUGAGUUUCUGCCACUAAGCUACCUCAUCGCAAUUCUCUCAGAAAUGGAAGAGCAAGCUACACAUCCCUUUGAGGAACAGAAGAAUAUGGAUGCCAGAUUUGUGGAGGAAAUUGCACUAAAACAGACUCUGAUCAAGCUGGGAUUUGAGGGCAAAUUAACACCAGGAGAAGAAUAGCUGAAGAGGGAACUGGAGCUGACUGAGAGACUGGAAACUAGUGACUGGUGUUUUGCUUCGUUGUGUACACAGUGAUAACGUGAUGUUUAACAAUUACCUACAUUUUAACAUCACAUUUAUCUGCAAAACAGGAAUCUGGCACACACACAUGUAUUCUGCCUGCUGAUUUCGAAAUAAAAAAAGUGAAACAGCUGCUUGAUUAUUCUAUAGAGAAAUAAGAUUCAGUAAUGUACAUGAACUAAGUUGAAAGAGAUUUCUGUAUCAGGUGUCAGAUGUUUAUAUUGCUGUAUAUAACAGUUUAUUUUAAUUAAAUGUGUAUCUUGUUUC